rnacentral:rRNA from 1 species
GACGUAGGGGGCCAGCGUUGUUCGGAAUUACUGGGUGUAAAGGGUUCGUAGGCGGUGCGGCAAGUUGGGAGUGAAAUCUCUGGGCUUAACCCAGAGGCUGCUUCCAAAACUGCUGUGCUUGAGUGUGGGAGAGGCGCGUGGAAUUGCAGGUGUAGCGGUGAAAUGCGUAGAUAUCAGGAGGAACACCGGUGGCGAAGGCGGAUCUCUGGGCCAUUACUGACGCUGAGGCACGAAAGUGUGGGGAUCAAACAGG